GAUGAACGCUGGCGGCGUGCCUAAUACAUGCAAGUCGAGCGAACGGACGAGAAGCUUGCUUUUCUGAUGUUAGCGGCGGACGGGUGAGUAACACGUGGAUAACCUACCUAUAUGACUGGGAUAACUUCGGGAAACCGGAGCUAAUACCGGAUAAUAUUUUGAACCGCAUGGUUCAAAAGUGAAAGACGGUCUUGCUGUCACUUAUAGAUGGAUCCGCGCUGCAUUAGCUAGUUGGUAAGGUAACGGCUUACCAAGGCAACGAUGCAUAGCCGACCUGAGAGGGGGAUCGGCCACAUUGGAACGUAGACACGGACCAUACUCCUACGGGAGGCAGCAGAAGAGAAUCUGCCGCAAUGGUCGAAAGCCUGACGGAGCAACGCCGCGUGAGAUAUGAAGGUCUUCGGAUCGUAAAACUCUGUUAUUAGGGAAGAACAGAUGUGUAAGGAACUGUGCACAUCUUGACGGUACCUAAUCAGAAAGCCACGGCUAACUACGUG
rnacentral:rRNA from 1 species